UGGGACUUGAGAGGGCAGGUGGCUGACCCCUUCCUUCCGUCCUUCCCACAGGGAGGGGGAGGCUUGGCCCAGCUCCCUCGGCCCGUUGUUACCGACUUCUUCCCCAUCAGAUGGAUGUAGCGCGGCCCGUCGCGAGCCUUAAAAGGAGCAGCAGGCGGCCACCUUACGCAGCGACCCGGAGGGAGUCCUGCGGGGACUACGCGGCGGGCGUGAGGCGAGCGCGGCUCCGGGCAUGCGCGGCGGCUGUGUGCCCGCCGGGCCGGCACCGCCCUCUGGCUGUGUCUUCCUCCCGCCGCGGCCUUCGGGCUCCCGGAGCACCGGGGCUGAUCGCCGAGAUCCUUUAGCAUAAUACCCUUUGGUCACAGAAAUGACAUCUUCAGGGAGACGACUUUGAAGAAAUGCCUGAAAGUGACAGUAGAAAUACUUUCUUCUGUUACCUGCUGAAAUAUGUAAAAGAAAAUGAAAUGAAAACAUUUUUUUCUGGAUUUUAUCUGAUGAGUGCUGAGUCCAGCAGAACUUUGACUGAAUUAUUUGUGUGGAAUCAAAAUUUGCACUAAAUCAAAAUAGGCCCCUUGAAGCAGAAAUAUUGAGUAAAAGCUCUUGCUACGUCUUGAUAUUCAGGUUACAUCAGAUUUUAGAGCACGUACUGUGUUUGUGAUUGCCAUCUCUUAACUGUUGGAAUGGAACAAAACAUUGGAGAUUAUUUUAAUGAGAAAAGCUUCUCCAGGAAGUCAGUGAUGACCAAAAAAUUAGGGGCAUAAUUUUUCUUUCUGGGGCAUUAUUGUUUGGGGUCUUGUUGGAGGAAAAGACUUUGAGAACGGGGAGAGGGUGUGCUCCAGGACCGGGGUAACUGGGUGGCUUUAAUGACCAUCGUCUUACAGUGUGGGCCCUGGGAAGAACUUACCGGGGAGUCCCAGUAGCUAAUUUUUCACAUUGUCACUCUACAGGACGUCUGUACCAGCACAUCUUUCCCAUUUUGUGGUUAAACAUCCCUCUGGAGAAUUAUCCCUGAGGCACUGAGAACUUUAUUGUACUUUCCCCAUACACCCCCCUCCCCCCCCAGCCUCUUGGUCUCAAUUCAGAUGUCAGUCAAGGUGCCCAGCACAGGACAACCUCUUUAGCUGGUUGGAGAGCUAUUGCCAACUCCUGAAAACACAGAAGUAACUCACCUUUGUUCUGGUCCUACAGCUUUAAACCCUUAAGUGAGGGCUUGUGAAUCAUCUGACCUGAUGAGGAUAUUUGAGGCCCCAUCUGAUAAGUGCACUUUGUACCAUAAACUCAAGUAAAAGUAAAAAUCAAGUAAAUCGACAAAAUACAAAUAUUUUCUACCACUAAAUCGCUAAGGCAAUUCCAAAGAAUGUGCUUCUGGAACAAAAGGCAAUUCCAAAAGAGGUGCCCUAAAAAUGUUUUGAAAGUGGUAGAAUAAUGGAAUAAAGAUAUUCUUUCCAAAUAAAGAUAUUUUU